UACGAAGGGGGCUAGCGUUGUUCGGAAUUACUGGGCGUAAAGCGCACGUAGGCGGCGCCGUAAGUCGGGCGUGAAAUGCCGGGGCUCAACCCCGGGACUGCGUCCGAUACUUCCGAGCUGGAGGUAGGUAGGGGAGAUCGGAAUUCCUGGUGUAGCGGUGAAAUGCGCAGAUAUCAGGAGGAACACCGGUGGCGAAGGCGGAUCUCUGGGCCUUACCUGACGCUGAGGCGCGAAAGCUAGGGGAGCGAACAGG
rnacentral:rRNA from 1 species